GUUCCCGAUGAUGUUUUAUCUCAUUUUACCAUGCUAAUUCUGAUUAUAGAUGAUUAAUAUUCAGUUUAAUGAACUGAGGGAACU